rnacentral:rRNA from 1 species
UACGAAGGACCCGAGCGUUAUCCGGAUUCAUUGGGUUUAAAGGGUGCGUAGGCGGAUUGAUAAGUCAGUGGUGAAAUCCUGCAGCUUAACUGCAGAACUGCCAUUGAUACUGUCGAUCUUGAGUACACUUGAAGUGGGCGGAAUGUGUCAUGUAGCGGUGAAAUGCUUAGAUAUGACACAGAACACCGAUUGCGAAAACAGCUCACUAAAUUGUAACUGACGCUGAGGCACGAAAGCGUGAGGAUCAAACAGG